rnacentral:tRNA from 1 species
GGAGAGAUCGUCUAAACAAGAUACUCUGAUGUAACCAGAGAAAUAAAAAUAAAAUUUUUCUAUCCA